rnacentral:rRNA from 1 species
UAAUACAGAGGGUGCAAACGUUGCUCGGAAUUAUUGGGCGUAAAGCGCGUGUAGGCGGCUUGUUAAGUUGGUUGUGAAAACCCAUGGCUCAACCAUGGAAGGGCGUCCAAAACUGGCAAGCUAGAGUCCCGACGAGGAUGGCGGAAUUCCCAGUGUAGAGGUGAAAUUCGUAGAUAUUGGGAGGAACACCGGUGGCGAAGGCGGCCAUCUGGGAGGGCACUGACGCUGAGACGCGAAAGCGUGGGGAGCAAACAGGAUUAGAUACCCUGGUAGUCCACGCCGUAAACGAUGAGCACUAGAUGUUGCGGGUAUUGACCCCUGCAGUGUCGACGCUAACGCAUUAAGUGCUCCGCCUGGGGAGUACGGCCGCAAGGCUA